CGAGUAGCGGAGCGAGUCGGUGUUCGCUGCGCGGGGUUGCGGGCUGCGGCCGUCAGUCGUCGGGUGAGCGGGGUGCGACGUAAACGCGGACUCGGACUAUGGCGGAAGGGCUGUUCCUCAUUCCCAUAAAAGGGUCGAGUUGAUUGUGGUGCAGAUACGUGUGAACUCCCUGCGUCUGACACAACGAAUGCACGAAACACUA